UCCGUAGGGUGAACCUGCGGAAGGAUCAUUACAGAAAGUAAACGCGGAUCAAACCGCGAACUUCUAAACCUUUGACGAUUGACUCAUGUUGCCUCGGCGGGUUCUCCCGCCAGAGGAUACGUCAAAACUCCUGUUUUAACGGUGUUGUCUGAGCUACAAGCAACGAAUCAAAACUUUCAACAACGGAUCUCUUGGUUCUGGCAUCGAUGAAGAACGCAGCGAAAUGCGAUAAGUAGUGUGAAUUGCAGAAUUCAGUGAAUCAUCGAAUCUUUGAACGCACAUUGCGCCCCUUGGUAUCCCGAGGGGCAUGCCUGUUCGAGCGUCAUUUCACCACUCAAGCCUGGCUUGGUGUUGGGCGACGUCCCCUUUGGGGACGCGCCUCGAAACGCUCGGCGGCGUGGCACCGGCUUUAAGCGUAGCAGAAUCUUUCGCUUUGAAAGUCGGGGCCCCGUCUGCCGGAAGACCUACUCGCAAGGUUGACCUCGGAUCAGGCAGGGAUACCCGCUGAACUUAAGCAUAUCAAUAAGCGGAGGAA
rnacentral:rRNA from 1 species